UAAUGACAAUGCUAAGAAAAUAUGAGAAUGUUUUGAAUAAUAAUAUGAUUAAUUAUUAUAUUUUUUUUAUAAUUCCACAUCUUAUACACUUGAUAACUCUAUUGUUUUUUUUUCCUUGUCUCAAUUUACUAGUUUCAUAAUGUCACUAUCAACAAACUUUGAGUUCGUUGCUCUUGAAUAUAUCGGGUAAAACUUACUUGGAAUUGGGACCUUGAUGCGGAAAUUCAUUUGGGAUUGCUAUGAAUCUCGGAAAAACAAAUAAUAGGAAAUGAGCAUCCCUGAAGGAUCGCGCUAAGUAAUAUAUACUUCGUCAACCAUCUCCAUGAAGGAUUAAAACUGAAUAUCUAACAAUACAUGAUCCAUAUAUCCCCCCCCUUUUUUUUUUUUUUUUUUUUUUGGCAAAAUUUGACAACGUUAUGACCACCACAAGGAAAAAUUUAAAUUUCCCCUUUUUCCAAAAGCUCGUUAUGAGGAAUCGCUUCACUUUAGGUUACCGGUUUUAAAAACUGUAAGCGAGUAUAUUCUGCAUAUUUAGAAUUACUUCUCAAUUGAAAUUAUGUGGAGAAAAUAUUACUGAGGAAGAUAUGUUGGAGAAAACUUAUUCUACUUUUCACGCUAUACAUAUGCUCCUGCAGCAAGCAAUAUCGUGACGUAGUUUUAAAAAAAAUAUUCUAAUUGAUAUCAUUCUUUCUGGUUGCUGAACAAAUAAUGAUGUUUUGAUGAAUAUCAUUAAUCAACCAGACCAACUGGUUCGGUGCCAUUCCCUGAAGUGAAUGCAAAGACUGUGGUGUGGUUAUCCAUGUCGUGGGCGUGGUCGGGUCUUAGCCGUGACGUGUCUUGACGUAGUUAAUCUUAUAUCUAUGAUAUCCUGGUGAUCCAUAAUAGCUCAAAAAAAUUUUUAAGAAAACUGAAAAUAAGAGGAAGUAUGGAAAGGAAAAAGAUUUGAAAAAGAAGCCUUUCAAAAAUUAAUGCGAAAAUACUGUGAUAGAUGUUGCAUGAAAGUCAUUGGUCACGUACCUGUCGUAUGUCUAAACAUCCUUGUGAUCUUAUCAACAGCGUUGAAAGAAACAGAAAAGCUGCAGAAACGAAUUUUAUUGCACAUCAUAUAAUUCGCUGGAUAUUACACGUCUUGUAUACUUUGGAUUCCUUUGAGAUGUUGAUGAGAAAUUCAUCAUUGAUUGGCAUGAAAAUAUCAAUAUUGAAAAUCUUAUUGUAAUAACAAAUCAAUGUCUUUAUUUAGUAGGUUACUUUUAAUCUUUUGUUGUUAUCUUUCCUAUUGUCUUUAGUAUUUUUCAUAUAAAUAAAAAUUAUACGUUGAUUUGAAUGUUUUUCAUACAUCUUAUUUUUGUUAUUUUGAAGAAAUAGGAGUUUAUUAUUUGGCAUCAUGGUGGAAAUUUAUGUCUGGCAGACAGUGCAACAACGCACAACAUUCUCAGAGAUAAAUAUAUUUUUUCAAAAAGCUAAAAUUAACUGAAGCCAUGUUUAUUAUAAUCUCUGUAUUAAGCAAAUUUUAAAAUUAAGGCUCUGGAAGCGCACUAUUAAUGUUCAGUGGAGGAACACAAUUAAUAUAAUUGAUGCAUUAUUUUCUAGUAAUCACCAAGAAUCUACUAAUUUUUAAAUAAUCUACGUCGUAAUGGUUAUCAUAUUGAGGACCACAACUAAAAUUGUAAUAGAAUUUUAUAUAUCACAAUCGCUUAUCUUAAGCAAGAAGCAUAUAUUUAGAUAGAAAAGUUGUCAACAUUCUCUUCGAAUGUAUAUUAUACAUAUAUAAGUCUAAUUAGGUCUACUGUUUGUGUUAAAUAAUUAUUUUCCCAAAAGAUUUUAUCCUUUAGCAUGAUCGAUUAGGUCAUCCGGAGUGCAAUAAUAUGAGAAAAUUAUUAAAUUCAUAUGGACAUCCAUAAAGAAUCAGAAGAUUCUUUUAUCAAAUGAAUUUCCAUGUGCUGCUUGUUCUCAAGUAAAAUGAUUAUUCGGCCAUCCCCAUAAAGUUGAAAUGGGGGGGGGGGGGAAUCCCCUUCAUUUCUUGAACGAAUUUCAAGGGAUAUAUGUGGUCCUAUUUUCCAUCAUGUUGCACCAUUUUGAUAUUUUUAUGGUAUUUAAUAGUGCCGCUCAACACGUUGGUCACAUGUUUUGUUUGUUAUUAGUCGAAAUAUGGCAGUUGCAAGACUUUUGCAAAAAUAAUCCUAUUAAUGGCACAAUUUUUGGAUUAUCAUUAAAGAAAAUUCGUCUUGAUAAUGCUGGAGAUUUACAUCUCAAGCGUUUAACGAUUAUUGCAUGUCAAUUGAUGAUGUUGAGUACUCUGUGGCCCCACGUGCAUACACAAAAUGGUUUGAACAUAAUCUUUGAUUACACGCCUAAUAACUACUUGCUAGACCGGAUCUGAGAAAAUAAGUGAGGAAUCUUAUUUCUUUGUACUUGUUUAUGGGUAUAUAGAUGUAGGGGCAGAGCGAGGCAAGGCCUGGGAAGGACUAUAGCAGGCCUCACUUUUAAAAAAUUACGAAUU
rnacentral:lncRNA from 1 species